UACAGAGGUCUCAAGCGUUGUUCGGAUUCAUUGGGCGUAAAGGGAGCGUAGGUGGCGGGGUAAGUCGGAUGUGAAAUCCCGGGGCUCAACCUCGGAACUGCAUUCGAUACUGCCCUGCUAGAGUACUGGAGAGGAGAUCGGAAUUUACGGUGUAGCAGUGAAAUGCGUAGAUAUCGUAAGGAAGACCAGUGGCGAAGGCGGAUCUCUGGACAGUUACUGACACUGAGGCUCGAAGGCCAGGGGAGCAAACGGG
rnacentral:rRNA from 1 species